GAGGAGAAAGGCUUCUUGUUACUCAUAUUAACAUUAUUGCUUCUAUGUUUCAAUAGAUUAUCUUCUCACUAUUUUGCCACAUAGAUGAGUUGGUUCUUUUAAACUGCUCAUAGGUAGCUCG
rnacentral:lncRNA from 1 species